rnacentral:tRNA from 1 species
GCGCCCGUAGCUCAGUUGGAUAGAGCGCCAGACUCCGACUCUGAAGGCCGCCGAUUUGAACUCAGUCGGGCGUACCA